UACGUAGGGGGCGAGCGUUGUCCGGAAUUACUGGGCGUAAAGGGCGAGUAGGCGGUUAUAUAAGUCAGAUGUGAAAUACCAGGGCUCAACCCUGGGGCUGCAUUUGAAACUGUAUGACUUGAGUGCAGGAGAGGAAAGUGGAAUUCCCAGUGUAGCGGUGAUAUGCGUAGAUAUUGGGAGGAACACCAGUGGCGAAGGCGACUUUCUGGACUGUAACUGACGCUGAGGCGCGAAAGCGUGGGGAGCAAACAGG
rnacentral:rRNA from 1 species